rnacentral:misc_RNA from 1 species
GAUGAAGAACGCAGCGAAAUGCGAUAAGUAAUGUGAAUUGCAGAAUUCAGUGAAUCAUCGAAUCUUUGAACGCACAUUGCGACCCUUGGUAUUCCGAGGGGCAUGCCUGUUCGAGCGUCAUUAUAACCCCUCAAGCUCAGCUUGGUGUUGGGGCCUGCCGCACGGGCAGCCCUUAAAAUCAGUGGCGGUGCCAUCUGGCUCUAAGCGUAGUAAUUCUUCUCGCUAUAGAGUCCCGGUGGAUGCUUGCCAUUAACCCCCAAUUUUCUAUGGUUGACCUCGGAUCAGGUAGGGAUACCCGCUGAACUUAAGCAUAUCAAUAAGCGGAGGA